rnacentral:rRNA from 1 species
ACCGGCGCACGGGUGAGUAACACGUAUCCAACCUGCCGUCUACUCUUGGACAGCCUUCUGAAAGGAAGAUUAAUACAAGAUGGCAUCAUGAGUCCGCAUGUUCACAUGAUUAAAGGUAUUCCGGUAGACGAUGGGGAUGCGUUCCAUUAGAUAGUAGGCGGGGUAACGGCCCACCUAGUCUUCGAUGGAUAGGGGUUCUGAGAGGAAGGUCCCCCACAUUGGAACUGGGACACGGUCCAAACUCCUACGGGAGGCAGCAUG